UGGGGAAUUUUGGACAAUGGGCGAAAGCCUGAUCCAGCAAUGCCGCGUGUGUGAAGAAGGCCUUCGGGUUGUAAAGCACUUUUGUCCGGAAAGAAAUGGCUCUGGUUAAUACCUGGGGUCGAUGACGGUACCGGAAGAAUAAGGACCGGCUAACUACGUGCCAGCAGCCGCGGUAAUACGUAGGGUCCAAGCGUUAAUCGGAAUUACUGGGCGUAAAGCGUGCGCAGGCGGUUGUGCAAGACCGAUGUGAAAUCCCCGAGCUUAACUUGGGAAUUGCAUUGGUGACUGCACGGCUAGAGUGUGUCAGAGGGGGGUUAGAAUUCCACGUGUAGCAGUGAAAUGCGUAGAGAUGUGGAGGAAUACCGAUGGCGAAGGCAGCCCCCUGGGAUAACACUGACGCUCAUGCAUGAAAGCGUGGGGAGCAAACAGGAUUAGAUACCCUGGUAGUCCACGCCCUAAACGAUGUCAACUAGUUGUUGGGGAUUCAUUUCCUUAGUAACGUAGCUAACGCGUGAAGUUGACCGCCUGGGGAGUACGGUCGCAAGAUUAAAAGCUUAAAGUG
rnacentral:rRNA from 1 species